GCAUCAAGAGUCAGGCAGGGGCAGCAGCCCACGUUCAGCUGGAAUUCUGUGGCUUAACCCAGGGGUUUUCUAUGUGUCAUGAGAGAUAACACAACACUCUCACCAACGAAGUUGAAUAAAUUAUAUUUAGGACUCACAAGCUGGUAGUGGGAACUAUUUGCAGCUUUUUGAGCAGGGGAGGAAUGACGAUCAAAGCUGUAUUUAAGGAAGAAGAAUCUGACAGUGCUGCGUGGGCUUUGCUGGAACUGGGCAGUGAGAAGGCUAGAAAUUGCAUUUGUUCCGGUAAAAGUGAUAAAAAAGAAAUGAUCAGAAGUGGAAAGGUGGGUUAGUGAACCAAUGUUUCCACCUCUGAAGGGCCACGGAGCCAGGGAGGAGGAUUUACUCUUCUCUGUUAAGAAGGAGCUCUGCUGUCCUGACCAAAUGCCAGAAGAUGUGACUUUGCUCAGACCAAGCUACCAAAGACCACUGCCCUUCGUUCCACGAGCCUGGCCCUGUCUACACAGACAGGCAACCCAGGAGCCUGAUCCAGGAGCCGACAGGUAACUCUGGGCCACACAGCACUUGGCAACUGUAUUUGUUUGGUACCUGCCCAACCAGAUACGAACUGAGGGCCAUGAAAGCUGACUCACCUUCGCAGCAGAAGGCUGUUAUAUGCCCGGUCCAUGGUUGGCACUCUGUUCUGCAAAGUCAAGGUGGGAACCAUGGCAAGGGCAUUUCACAAGGCUCUCUAUCUGUUUUGCCCUGCUGCAAACAGAACAGAUUCCUGGGCCCACCCAGCCCUUUGAAAGCCAGGUAAAAUUGCUAGGAUAAGGGGUUUUCAAGCCCAGGCCUUCAGCAAAGCAAAGUCUUCUCCAAGAUGCUUUCAGAUCCCUGGAGGGCUUACAUUGUCAUGGUUCUCUCUGCUGAGAUGCUGCCUCCUUAAAAGUGCACAUAGCUUUGCUGAAGAUGGGAAACUUUCCUGAUUUCCGUGAGAAAAAAAGAAACUAAACAGCUAGCAUGAGACGCACAUGUCAUGAUUCUUGGCUAUGCAAACCUGAGGCUGAUGCAUCCUCCAGCAGCUGACCACGGACAUGUGCAGCAUCACAGUGACAGAUGGCAUUUCAACCACUUGGUUUACACCUUCCUCCACUGUCACCACCAUUCUGACAGAAAUGAGUUCCAUUUGCUCCAUUUUACAUAAGGGCAAAAGGCAGCAUUGACUCACCAAGUUUACACAGUUAGGGAAAAGAGCAACCAGGUCAGGAUCAGAUACAACAAAGAAGUGAUUGCAGAUGUUAAAUGGAACAUAGCUCUGGUCGUUUGAUAAAUAUUCAGUAAUUUCUUCAGUUUGUUAAGAAAAAUUAUCCAAAAUUUACAAUUACAGAGGAAGCAAAAUUUUACCUGUACCCUAUUUUUUUUUUUCUGGGGCUAAGAAUUAAAUUGACUUAAGACAGACAUAAGACAGAUCAACAGCAGAAGAACAAAUUUACUUAAUACAAGUUUUACAUGGCAGGAGAGACUACAUAAGGAAAU
rnacentral:lncRNA from 10 species